rnacentral:tRNA from 1 species
GCUGGAUUAGCUCAGUGGUUAGAGCUUAGGCCUUGUGACCAGAAGGUCCCGGGAUCGAAUGUCGCCAGAGGCAGAA